UACGUAGGGUGCAAGCGUUAAUCGGAAUUACUGGGCGUAAAGCGUGCGCAGGCGGCUAUGCAAGACAGAUGUGAAAUCCCCGGGCUCAACCUGGGAACUGCAUUUGUGACUGCAUAGCUAGAGUACGGUAGAGGGGGAUGGAAUUCCGCGUGUAGCAGUGAAAUGCGUAGAUAUGCGGAGGAACACCGAUGGCGAAGGCAAUCCCCUGGACCUGUACUGACGCUCAUGCACGAAAGCGUGGGGAGCAAACGAGGAUUACGAA
rnacentral:rRNA from 1 species